rnacentral:rRNA from 1 species
GACGAACGCUGGCGGCGUGCUUAACACAUGCAAGUCGAACGGAGUGGCGAACGGGUGAGUAACGCGUAAUCAACCUGCCCUUCAGAGGGGGACAACAGUUGGAAACGACUGCUAAUACCGCAUACUGAAGGAGGGGAUUGCGUAUGAUUGGCUGGUUGGGGGGGUAACGGCCCACCAAGGCGAUGAUCAGUAGCCGGUGUGAGAGGAUUAACGGCCAAAUUGGGACUGGGACACGGCCCAGACUCCUACGGGAGGCAGCAGGGGGGAAUCUUCCGACAUGGACUGAAGUCUGAAGGAGCAACGCCGCGGGAUGGAUGACGGCCUUCGGGUUGUAAAGCUCUGUUAAGCGGGACGCGGUACCGGAAUAGAAAGCCACGGCUAACUACGUGCCAGCAGCCGCGGUAAUUC